rnacentral:lncRNA from 1 species
AAAAUCAAUAGCAGUAGUGGAGUUCACGGAGUCUCUGGCACUUCUCCUGUUAUGGGGUCAGAACACUGCUUGGGGCAGGGUUUGUGAUUUAUACUAAUUUAGGAAUUAUUUGGGGAUUGCUAGGGUUUAUGGGGUAGAAAGGGGCAUCAACGUUGUGAGCUCUACUCUGUCUGUGGAAACAGGACGGUUUUGAAACAUAUCCUAAAGCUGGUCAGACUCUGGAUUGGCCUGAUCUCCUCUGGGAGUUUGUUCCAUAGCUAGAUCCUCUUGACCCAGAAUGCAUCAUCCCCAGGUCUCAUAUAUGUCGCCCUGGGCUUUGAGAUCUGCAUUGUGCUUCAUAGAACAACAUUUGGUUUUCCAUGUAGUUGGGGUUUGAUCCACUAAUUGCACUAAAAGUUAGGGCCAGGGCCUUACGCUGUCAUCUGAAGCUGAUUAGGAGCCGGUGGAGACACCUGAGUUCCUGCAGAGAGGACUCAGCCAUACAUAUUUCCAAGCUUUCUGCAGCAGCUAUCUGAGCUCUUCCUUUGCACUAGUGCCAGGUACGAGGAUAGAGAACAGGAAAGGCUGGGAAUGGCCAUGUCAGACAGCCACACAGCCUCCAAGCCCUCACUGAAGCGAGGAAGAGGAAGGAAUGAUGUGAGCCAACAGGCUGAAAACAGAAUCCUAGACUCAACCAGAGGAGAGAAGGGAAAGCACAUCAGGUCCUAUCUCUUCCAUCCCUGCCAGCACUCUCAUCCUUGAACCCGCUUUGCCGAGCUGUUCCCAGCCACAGCCCAGGGGAUAGGACACUGGUGUCCCCACCUCACUGCGAUUGGCAAUCUCAGAAGAGGUGCCAGCAUAGGAGCUGGGGCCACGGCGGUGGAACUCCAGGGGUGGCCCCUCCAGGAUCAUGGAACAUGGAUGGGGCAGCGUUGGGGAAGCUCACACUGUAGUGACCUGUGCUGUCGCUGUUCUAUGGAUAAAAUAGAGCAUUGGUCUCCAGGGCCAUCAACCCAUCACCAGCCCUAAAUUCCUGCCCCCAAUCUGAUCUCUGUAUAAUUUUUGCUCACAUCAGAUCAAUCUUGAGGUGUCUCUGACAAGUCACUUUUUAAAGCAAGGCGAUUCGGCUGUUGUAGUUGCUAGAGGAAGAGAUUCCUUUAUUUAAGAACUAGACAUCCAGCUCUCCUGCAGGCACGUGUCCCAUUACACAGGACCCUGCUUAGCAGCUGGGAGAGGGAACCACCAUACCAAAGGGAACCACCCCCUCCCA